GACAGCUAUCAUGUCUUUCUCUCUCUCUCUAAUGCCUAGUCAUCUCUGGUCCAAACUGAACAUCCCCAGUUCCUUCAACCUUCUGUCGAUGGCAUGGUUUCAAUGCCCUUCUCUGGACAUGAUCCAGUUUGUCAAUGUCAUUUAUAAAAUGUAGUUCCCAGAAUACCAGACUAUAGAUGUGAUCUGACCUGGAUCGAGAAUGUCAUAUUUGUCAUCUCCCUCCUUCUAAACAUUAUCAUUCUGUUAACAAAGCCCAACACUGCAAUGCCAUACUGUUAACUUGCAUUGAGCUUUUUCUAGACCACUGAGUCCAGACUUGGGAAUAAUCUUGCAAGUUCAAGAGAGCCAGAGAAGAAUCUUGAACAUUUUUAUGAGGGAGAUAUUUGAACUGUUCUUGAAAGAAAUAGGAAGUAAAGGUUAGGAAGGAAAUACAAUCCAAGCAUAGGAGACAGCUAAGGAAAAAGAAUGGAGAUGGGAAAUGAGUGCCCUGUAUGAGAAAGAAUAAGAAGGCAAUUUUGGUUGGAAGGAAGAGAAUGUGAAGGAGAGUAAUGUGUAAUAAGCUGGAGAAGUAAGUUGGGGACGGAUUGUGAAGGGCUUUAACAUCCAAACAGAGGAACUUAUAUUUGGUCCUAGCAAUAAUGUGAAGCAUUAGAGUUACUAAAGGGAGUGAUGUAGUUAGAGUUAUGCUUUGAGAAAAAAUCACUUUGGCAGCUGUGGGAAGUAGAUUGGAGUAGUGAAGAGAUGUAAAGCAGGAAAACCGAUUAAGAGUCCAGUUUGACCCUGAGCAAGUCAUUUAACCCCCAUUGUUUAGUCGUUAUUGCUCUUCUGUCUUGGAACCAAAACACAGUAUUGCUUCUAAGACAGAAUGUAAGGGUAUUGUUUAAAGAGUCCAUCGCAAUAGUUCUUUCUUAGGAUUCAUGGGACUUGAACUAUGGCAGUGUCUCAGAGAGUAGAGAAAAAGUCACAUUCUCGAGAUAUUUUGGCUUAUAGAAAUGACAAAACUUAGUAACUAAUUGUAUGAGUGUACUCUCAAGGAAGAACCCAAAGUUGUGAACCUGGGUGACUGGAAGAAUGGUGGUACCCUGGGUGGUCGAACUCCUUAAGGGCAAAGCCUGUGUCCCUCCAGGUUGAGCAAAGUGCUCAGCACAUCCUAAAUGCUUAAUAAAUUCUAGCCUGAUUGAAGUUAGUCAUCCAUUGGACACAACACAGAAGACUACUGAGUCCAAUCAUCUCAUUUGACCCAUGAUGAAAUGGAGGUAUUAAGAAGAGAUCCCUAACCAUUUUUGUGUUGUGGACAUCUAUGGCAGCUUGUUGAAGCUUUCCUUCUCAGAAUUACGUCUUUCAAUACAUAAGAAAAAAUACUCAGGAUCACAAAGGCAAGCAAGAAAGAGGACACAAAUAAAAUCACCCAUUCUCAAGGGAAAAGAGGAC